UACGUAGGGUGCAAGCGUUGUCCGGAAUUAUUGGGCGUAAAGAGCUCGUAGGCGGUCUGUCGCGUCUGCUGUGAAAACUCAGGGCUUAACCCUGAGCUUGCAGUGGGUACGGGCAGACUAGAGUGCGGUAGGGGAGACUGGAAUUCCUGGUGUAGCGGUGAAAUGCGCAGAUAUCAGGAGGAACACCAGUGGCGAAGGCGGGUCUCUGGGCCGUAACUGACGCUGAGGAGCGAAAGCGUGGGGAGCAAACAGG
rnacentral:rRNA from 1 species